AUGUUUUUUUUUUUUUUUUCACAUUUUGUUCUUUUUUCCUUAUUUAGGAGGAUGGGAAACAGUUGUGCUUUUCAAGGAAGAAUCUGUUUUGAAUCUCAGACUGUAUUCUACUUGAAUAAGACAAAACUUUCAAACAGCCCCAUUCCUUUAUGUGUCAGAAGUUUGUUUCUCAUUGGUUAUAAAAAGGAAAAUGUUCCUUUCUUGGCACAUAUUAGCCCAAAGAGCUAUUCAAAUAGAGUACAUAUAUUCUAAAUGAAAAUAUUAAGCCCUUGUAAUAUAUGUUGAGGAUGUAAAAUUUAAAUAAAUAAAUAAACAAGCAAAAAUUUGCCAAGGAGCUUUUAUUUGGGGAAAUGCAGAAAUCACCCCUUAAGUCUCUCAAUGAAAGUGCAUUCUAUUUAAAUAAAGUUUGAAUAAAAUCACAUUUAAAGGAUUCUCUAUAUCCUUAUUGUGUUUAAAAACAUGGAAUUCAUUUCAUUAUGCUAUCUUAUUUUCUCAGAAAGUGUUAUUAUAUAUAGUAUUCUGCUUUUUGAAAUAAAAAUGUUAACACUCGGUUAUGUCAUUCCUUUCCACCAUUUUGCCCAACUUUUGUCCAUAAAUUAAUUCUUCAAGCAGCUGACAAUCUACCCCAGUGGAUAUCCACUGGGGGUACCAGGCAGGCCACCUGUCUUUUGUCAGAGAUAAAGAGUCUGAGUACUGGGGGACUGAAUUUUGGUGUCAUUAAGAAUUGAACUAUUUCUGCUUUGCUUGGCCCCAGGAUUCUGCUAAGAACAAUGUUCCACCAAUUUUAUAAAUUCCAGGAAUGCCAGCAAACCCACUGAUUGCAUCAAGGGAACCGAAAGACUAGACCGGGGGUUCUGUGAGGGUUACAUUCAAUUUUCUGGAUGAAACUGAUUUCUGAUUUUAUUUUGGGUAACAAACUUCACCAGAUAUCUCACAGGCACUGAGUAGGUACACAAUAUUUUACAAAGGAGCUGCAGAAAUUAAAGAAUUUUUUCAUGAUGUAAAUCCCUAAGUGCCUUUCCAUCUAUUGGAAGAGUUAACUAAAUUGUUGACUAAGGAAAUGACCAAGUUGGGCUUCCCUGGUGGCUCAGUGGUAAGGAAUGCACCUGCAUUGCAGGAGACAGAAGGAGACACAGAUUCAAUCCCUGGGUCAGGAAGAUCCCCUGGAGGAGGGCAGGGCAACCCGUUCCAGGAUUCUUUCUUGGAGAAUCCCAUGGACAGAGGAGCCUGGCGGGCCAUGGUUCAUGGGGUCACAAAGAGUCGGACACAACUGAAGCGACUGAGCACACACGCAUGAAAAGACCAAGUUAAGCAAAAUGUGAUACAUAUUCAAAUGAGAAAAGAUUACUUGGCUGAAGGAUUUAAAAAAAUCCUCCAGAGAAGAUAAAUCUGCAAAUGGCUUUUCAGACUAACUUGUCUUUACGUGAAGAGACAAAGAGAAAGAAGGAGCUCUUGAAUCAGGGAAGAUGAGUGAGGGUGUGGGGUUAGAAACCAGGUCCUCAGGCUUCGUUGCCUCAAUUCAUCAAAAGAUUAGGGAAUUCAUGUAUUAGACCUUUGAAUAGUGGAUCUUUAAAAAAAAUUAUUAGAAGCAAGAAAGGGAAAAAAGGAGCAUGGAAAAAAUAAAGAAGGGAAGUAAUUCGGGAGGGAGAGAGAAUAAAGGCAAAACCCCAGAUUAGGAUUAAGUGACUAUCAAUUAAUUUUGCAUCCUGGAAUCAAGGAAAAUCAAGGAGAAAUAAAAUACAAUUACUAAGUCUGACUUGGAAAGCCUCCAAGCAAUAUCUGGCCAGCCUACAUUUUCAGAGAGUUUUAACUAAAAGUAUCUUAAUAAUAUAAUUUAAAAACUCUAAAAUUUACAGAAAACUAAAGUAAUAGAGAAUACUAAUUGUACAAUGUGUUAAUGAUAACAGUUUUGUAAUAGUUUUCUACAGAGCAAAUAGAUAACUCGGUCUUUUCUCUACAAUGGUUGAAUAAGUUUUUUAUUUUUUUUUAAUUUUUUUUAAUUUUUUUUAAAUAAUCUCUUUUUUAAAAAUUUUAUUUAACUUUACAAUAUUGUAUUGGUUUUGCCUUUCUAAUUCCUGUUGGUAAGAUCCCAUGGUCAUUCCUCCAAAGUAACAUUUUUGUGGUUAUAUAUUUUUGAAUUUUUAUCUUAUAUUGGCAUAUAGUUGACUAACACUGUUGUGUUACUUUCAGGUGUAAAGUGAUUCAUUCUUUUUCAAAUUCCUUUUCCGUUUAGUUUCUUAAAGAAUUCUGAGCAGAGUUCCCUGUGCUAUACAGUAUGUCCUUAUUCUUUAUCCAUUUUCAAUAUAGCAGUGUGAACAUGUCGAUCUCAAACCCUCAAUCUAUGCCUUCCCCUGACCCUCCCCUCCCGGAGAACCAUAAGUUUGUUCUCUAAGUCAGUGACUCUGUUUCUGUUUUCUAAAUAAGUUCAUUUGUAUCAUUUUUGUCUUGUUUUUACAUUCCUCAUAUGCCUGAUAUCAGCUGGUAUUGCAGAGAAUUCAAGCCCUUUAACCCCCCUUCAGUUCAGUUCGGUCGCUCAGUCGU
ensembl:lncRNA